UAUAUAUAAGGGCAGCGUGUGUGCAGAGGGCUCAGUCAGCUGCCAGGAUGAAGGCUGUCCCUCUUCUCUGCUGUGUGGCGAUAAUUAUUCUCUGCAUUUCCACCCUGAAUGAGGCCAGUGAUAAGGAGGUGAAGGGAAAGAAGAUAGGAUGCUGCAACAAGUUCAGGCAGUGCCUGAGGUGUCCCCGCUUCCUGCUGGACAAAACUAAAGAAACUCAUCAUUCCAAACCAGUGCAUUUCGUCAGGUUCAAGAAGCUGAUACACAAAUGCAAAAAAUGCUUGAGUUCCAUGUCGUUUCCUGGAAGAACAAUACCUCUGCCCGGAAUAUAGAGAGAGGCACCAGACGUCUGCAGGAGCAGCCAAUGGAAGCAAUGUUUGUAGAUCUCCAAGUUAACCUGCAUGCCUCAUACCCAGUUCAUAACCCUACACACAUCUCUGCUCCUACAAUACCUCAGGCGCCCUGGGCACAACACCUUACUCUCCCAAUUAUUUUAACUUGCAAAAAGUCUCUCAUUACCUGCUAUGUUUGUUAACCUUGAUCUGUAAUUAAAAAGCCCUCAUAAGAUGAAUUUGUUAUGAGAUGACUGUUGACAAAGUGCCAAUCCAUCCUUUGGUGACCUGAGAUGAAUAGGUGAUGCUGAAGUUAUCAAAAGAGGUAGAUUGAUCAUUACACAAACAGACUCUGUGUCUCUGUCCAACAGGGGCCUUUGGACACUCACUUCCCUCUCACGCACUCCAUGUAUCUGAUUUCUCCAUCUCUUAUGAACAAAACUCACCUGCCAUGUUAUUGCUUAACUACUGGUCAUUAUCUUCGAUGCACAUAGCUCAGAAUACCAAGGAUGGGAUUGGAUGGGAGGGGAGGGGAGGGGAAUGGGAAAGGGCUACAGAUCUGUAGGUUGUAGGUCACUUCCAGGAUGUACCUACGGAUCUCUAUCUUGCUCCAGACAUCAGACAAGAAAUGGUGCCUAGUUUCUCUCCCCAACACCCUUGGUAUCUGAGCUGAGAGAGGGAAGUAUCUCUGAGCUGACUCCCUGCCACCCGGUCUGAUGUUCCAGCCGAGAACCCUGUGUCUGGGACCAAAACAAAUCUGGCUGUUCUCCCUGGCCAUUUUAUCGACAUUAUUCCAUUGAAAAAGACAGAAGCUAUUCAGCCCAUCGAGUGUACGAUGAACAAUCCCAUUCCCCUGAUACUCUGCCCACCUUUUCACCAGGGGUAGUUGAUAGUAGCCAAGUAACCAGCAUGUGUUUGGGGUGUGGAAGGAAACAGGAGCUCCUGGGGGAUACCCACAUAGUCACAGGAAGAACAUUCAAAGGUGAGCUGCUGGAGGAACUCGGUGGGUCAGGCAGCAUCUGUGGUGGGAAAUGGACAGUCAACAUUUUGGGUUGAGACUCUCCAUCUGGACUGAAAGAAUAGCUGGGAAGUAGCCAGUAUAAACAGGUGAAGGGAAUGGAUGGGACAAGAGCUGGGAAUCAUGGAUCCAAGUGAGGAGGGAUGAUGGACAGAUGGAGGAGGGAAGGCUGGAGAUAACAACAGAGGUUUGGAGGUCAAAAAUUGAGGUUACAAAGGACUGCAGAUGAUUGAAUCUGAUAGGAAAGGAAGGUGAAAGUUUCUUUGGAAAAGAUGUUCUGGAGUGCAAAAGCUCACACCUAUAAUAGAUAUGGUGGGGAACGUGCAAACUUCAUAACAGUAACAUCAGACAUCAAGGUAGAACCCAGGUCACCAGAGCUGUGAGACAGCAGCACUAUGCCUCCCACAGGGCUGAUGACCUCACCGUAGGACCUCAGCUCUCCCAUGAACAAAACACCAGUCAUAUAUUUCCAAGUUCUCUGAAACAUUUCAUGAUUGUACAUAGAAGCUCGUAAAAUGGGCGGUGGCAUUGUCAAUGGCAUUUGUGAUUAGUGGCUGUGCAUAUGCUCUCAGCUGGAGGGCUUUUGAUUCAUCAGUUCAUUUAAGAUUUUUGUGUUGCUUUGUUUGACGAUUUGUGCCUUUUCAGCAAAUGUUGAGAAGAUAAGAAAUAGAACACUUGGUCCAUUCUAUCCAUCAUGCUUGUUUUGCUAAUUGUUAAGAUCAUGACUAAUCUCUGCAUCAACAGCAUUUUCCUAACCGAUCUUCAGAUCCUAUGAAUCCUCCAACACCAUUUGAUUGCCAUAAAUAACCAAACCUCCCCAACUCUUGGGACAGAAAAUUCAGAGGAUUGACCUUGGUGAGAAAAUUAUUUUGCCUCAUUUCAAUCCCAAAUAGUUUCCCUUUCACCUUAGGUCUACGAGCCUUAGUUGUGACAUCCUCCACCGGGAUAGACACCUUUCAUGUACUUAUCUUCUCAAGCUCUCCAAGUAAUUUCUCUUUCAGUGAGGUCACCGCCUGCUGUUCCAACUCUAGAAUUCCAGCUCAGUCUCUCUCCUCAAGUGACAGACCAACCACCGAAGGAAAUAGUCUGGUGGAUAUUCUCAGCAUCUCCUCUGUAAAAUGAUUUCCCACUUUUAGGUGAGAAGACUAGAUUUGGGCAUAAUUCUUCAUCUGUGGUAUCAGCAAUGCCCUAUAUAAGUAUGAUAAGAUACCUUUCAUUAUGUACUCAAAUCCCUUCGCAAUAAAGGCUUUGUUA